CUCUUCUAUGUCUUUACUUCCAUUCCUACCUUUUCUUUUGUAUUUGACCAGGUUGAUAACAUAACGUUUACAUUCUGUUCUGUAAUGAGAAUUAAGACAUUCAGCCUUGUCAGUAGGUUGGUUCUAAAAGCUGAACAUGAUAAACUGCAGUUAAUCGUUGAGUUAGGAUUAUUUUCUUCUCAGCAGGUUGAAAGUCAUGAUGCUAAUGGAACCCAAAGAAUAAAAUAUUUAACAUCAAGCAUUGUGCUGUUUCAUCAUGCUAAGGUUUAUUUCAUCAUGACUCAUCAGUUAUUUCCAUCUCUCCUAAAAAGAUGAUAUGAAAAUACAAGAAUGAUGGAAUCACGUAGAAAGGUGAUAGAAUGUGGAAAAAUAUUGUCACUGUUGCAUCAUGGUUUUUUUAGUUUUUAUUUUAAUUUUUUUGUAUUGCAGUUAUUGCAUUAUAUUUCAAGAAGUUAUAAAAGAAGCCUGGAGACCUUAUUUUUGUAGGCUGCUUUUAGUUUUCAUUGAAUGCAGUUGAGACUUCAGAUUUUUUCGUUUCAGUCCAUAAUGACAAAGAGGAAAAAAAUGACAGAUGUUAAAGAGAUGUUUCACAUUUCUUUAACAAGUCAGUAAAUGAAUACAAAGGGAAAAAUAGUACUCCAGGUCCAAACCAGCAUUGUUUAGUAGGCAUAUAAUGUGAAUCACAAAUGUAAACCACAUAUAUAAUUUUAAAUUUACUUUAAAAAGUAAGUGAAGAAAAUAGUGUCAUUGAGGAAAACAAGAAAUAUUUAGAAUUCCUUUUAGGAGCUAACACCCUGUGGGACAAACUUUGCUCCAUCUCUUCUGUCUCUUUUUUGGCACUGGUUGGAUAAAUACCCUCCCUUCCUCUUCUCCCCUGCAUUCACCCCAAAUAGGUUGUGUUUUCUUGUGGCUCUUUGUAGCUUGGUAAUGUACUAGCUUGUGUUUGCUUUGUCUCUUUAUAUGCCUUGCUUCCCUUUCACUUUUUCACUCUGGCAUUGAACUCUUCCUUCCCAAACUGUCAACUUGUCCUUUUGCCUCAGACUGCCUUUUCGAGCUGAAACAAUGGCUUCUAGACUUCUUUGACCACGACCUAUAGUAAGAAAUAUAUUUUAUGUUGUGACCCAGUACACACAUACGCACUCAUAAACACAUAUCUAAAACAACAGCUUUGGGAAGCACACUUAUCAUUACUAGGCGUCUUGUACUCUGAAUUUUUCUUUUUCCUCUCCAGUUUCAUUUUAAAAAUGCUGGUUAUAACCCACUAUAUUGCUUGGCCAAAGAGUAAGAACAUUUGUAAUUGUGUUAGGAUAUUGGUAUUUUGUUUUCUAUAAGUUUGUACCAAUCUGUAUUCCCCCCCAGCAAUGUAUGAGAGUAAUGUCAAAGCUGAUAUUAUAAGUGCUUUGAAAAUUCUGUUCCUAGAGCUUGUGACUCAUAGUGUCCUCAAACUUCAGCAACACCUGUCCUGCCUUGGGAACAGAGUAUCUGUGCUUUAACUCAACUCCUUUUAUGGUAGUAUCUGGAGAGGGAGAAAGAAGCCUGUGGGUUAGUUGAACAUUUGUGGGACUCCAUCUUGAUUUGUCUAUAAUGUUUUGGUUAUAUCUCUUUGAAGAGGUUUUUUGUGGUUG
ensembl:lncRNA